rnacentral:lncRNA from 1 species
AUGGCCAGCCCUUCCAGCAGCUCCGAAGCCACUGGCAAGCCCCGAGGCAGGGAUGGCAGUCCCAGGAUGGGGGAGGACGUCCCUCCCGAAGAGAAGAGGCUGGGGCUGUAGCUGGAGGGGGGAAGCGCACAGCCCGAGGACUGCGAGGACGGGGAGGACCCGCCGCUGCCGGGCAGGAAGGAGACCGGCACCCAGACAGGUGGCGACGGCAAAGGAGCGGAAUUCUCCACGAGUUUUGAGCAGCCUCGGGUUUCCCACCACCUCCAAAUCAUGGAAGAUAC